ensembl:lincRNA
CCGUGCGGCUGUUCCGGCCAGGGCUAGGAAGGCCGCGUCUGCGCAGUCGGCCUUGGCGCUCUGCACUUUCUCCCUGGAGGAGUGCCGAGUCACUCUCUGGCCCGCGAACUGUGGGACGCGCUGGGCUCGAGAAACAAAGGAAACCCACGCACACGUGUUUGCAGUAUAGCGAACGUGAAAACAGCGGAGUGAAACAGCAAUCUUUCCCAACCCAAACAGAAAAAGUUUCCAUUUGUGUCAAUAGAAACAAGUUUUUCUGUCUUGAGCCACAGCCUGCUACAGCUCUGCCAGUCAGUCUAUGGAUGCUCUGUGAUAGCAUUCUGGUGAAAUGGUUGGUGAAGAUGGGGCUCACUUCAGAGCUGAAUCUGUCUGAGGGCAGGAUCUACAGAGCUCUUCCAGAAGAUCCUGAAACCAUUAAGGCGCCUAAGGACCCAGUCAAACACCUACAAUCAAUAGCCCUAAUCUGAGAGCAAUCUGUAAUAAUAAUUAAACAAUUUUUAAAAACAUAAAAUAAUAUUUUGGGGUAUUUUCUCUUCAUUUGAAAGUAAAAGCAGAAAAUUUGGGAAACUAGAGGGAAUUAUUUAAAUUUAAUAAACAUUUAAUUAAAUAAAUCAUUUAAUGAGCUAAGUAUUUGGCAAGUUUUAGAAACCAUCAUCUUUAGGGCACAGGAAAUCACUUCCAGGGAUCCUUGACAACUGGUUAAACUGCAUCUCUCUGAUGAAGGCUUUCAGAUGUUUCCAGGUUCUCACAGGCCUAAAGGAGACACAGGCAAGAGACUCUCCCUACACUGUGGAACACCUCUUCAAGUAAGGUGUUCAGGGUAGUGAAUUAUGAAGUUAGAGGAUGGAGCCAUUGCUACAGGGCCCCAUAAAGAUG